CAUAAAUGAUUUGCUUGUUUAAAAUUCAAAUGCUUUUCAUUAUCCAGAAUCAUUAUGCAGGGAUUUCUAAACCCAUUGAACAUAAUGAUCCAACGCCAUCUCCCAAUCUUGAAGUCCUUGUAUCUGAGGUAGAGGAAGAUGAUGUUAAGGGGAUUCCUGAUGAGAUUACCCGCCUUCUUGAGCACGAAAGGAAGCUCAUUCAGCUGUAUCAUGAGAAUCAGCAAAACAGUCAAACUGGGGCAUUGCAAAUGCAAUCAAAAAAAAAAA
rnacentral:lncRNA from 1 species